GUCUUCGUGGUGUAGUGGUCAGCGCACUCGACGCGUAAUCGAGAGGUCCGUGGUUCGAGUCUCAGCGAAGGCG
rnacentral:tRNA from 1 species